rnacentral:rRNA from 1 species
CCUACGGGUGGCAGCAGUGAGGAAUAUUGGGCAAUGGAGGCAACUCUGACCCAGCAACGCCGCGUGAAUGAUGAAGGUCUUCGGAUUGGAAAGUUCUGUGAUGGGGGAUGAACACAAUGACGGUACCCCAAUAGCAAGCCACGGCUAAAUACGUGCCAGCAGCCGCGUUCAUACGUGGGUGGCAAGCGUUAUGCGGAAUGACUGGGCGUAAAGGGUGCGGAGGUGGUUUAGUAAGGUGGCGGUGUAAUUCCGGGGCUCAAGCUCGGCGCUACCGCCAAAACUAUUAUACUAGAGUGGAGGAGGGGGAAGUGGAAUUCCUAGUGUAGCGGUGGAAUGCGUAGAUAUUA